AAGGCUGAAGGAGUGCGGCGGGGUGUCCUGCCACCGUGGUUUGUUUUCCCAAAGUACCUGUCCUGUAUGGGACUUCUCUGGCUUACCUGUCCACACCAGCUUCUGACAGAAGGCUUUGGUAGAUUUCCUUGUUUUGGAUAUCAAAGCAGGUCUCCACCAGCCAGCAGCACUACAGCAGAGAGAGAGAGAUCCCUUUGGGUCUUCAACAACUAUUGCAGACCUAUAACUCUGCAAUUGCAACCUCAGUGAACCCAGUGUGACACUUCUUCCAGGACUUCAGCCAAGUGCAAUAGAAGAUUUCAAUUUAGAACUAGUAUUGUGGUAAGGAAGGUAGGGGACAAGCAGAGAAGUCACACCCAGCCUUCCAAAU